CGGGGCGUAGCUUAGCCUGGUAGAGCGCUACGUUCGGGACGUAGAGGUCGGGAGUUCGAAUCUCCCCGCCCCGACCA
rnacentral:tRNA from 2 species